rnacentral:sRNA from 1 species
UGUUCUUCCUUUGCCAUGUCUUCAUUCAGACCGCAUCAUCAGCCACAUUCAUUUUCUUCUCGAGAGCUCACCAUCAACGCUGCAAUUGAAGCACUGUGAAGAUGGUAGAGAAAGUGGAAGAGUUUAACAUGAAGUGAGUGAUAGAGGAAUUUGAGAGGGUGACAAAGGAUGCUAAGAGGU